AUACUUACCAGGCAGGGGAGAUAUCAUAAUCAUGAAGGUAGUUUUCCCAGGGUUGCACCCUGGAUGUGCUGAUUCCUGUGAUUUCCCCAAAUUCAGGAAACUUGACUGCAUCAUUUGUGUGAGUGGGGGAGUGCAUUCACACUUUCCCCUA
ensembl:snRNA U1 U1 spliceosomal RNA